rnacentral:rRNA from 1 species
CGUGUAGGCUGCUUGGAAAGUCGGAUGUGAAAGCCCUGGGCUCAACCUAGGAAGUGCAUUCGAAACUUCCAAGCUCGAGUUUCGGAGAGGAAGGCGGAAUUCUCGGUGUAGAGGUGAAAUUCGUAGAUAUCGAGAGGAACAUCGGUGGCGAAGGCGGCCUUCUGGACGAUGACUGACGCUGAGACGCGAAAGCGUGGGAGCAAACA